UUUUUUUUUUUUCAUUUAAAAAUCUCUUACAGUGGCAUAACUUUCCCUGUACAAAUUGGGUUUAAGAAACAAGAGGGACAAUUUGCUAUUCAAUGAGCCUUUAAUCCAACCAUUAUAUAUCCCCUUUCCCUUGAAGAGACCAUUUAGUUAAGACUACCAGCAGGUGGCACCUUGACAACUUUACCAACCUUGCCUUUUAGAGGUGACCAGAGACUGUGCUUUUCCAAAGUACUGUUAUACAUGUAAUUAGUAUAAUAUCAAUGUGGGGAAACUCUACCUUUGGUUUUUGAGGACUCUGCUUUUCUUGAAAUCCUAUGGGUUAGAGAUUGUUUAUUCAUAUGCACCUCAGUUCACUGUUUCCUAGUCCUUUGCUUGUUCUCCUGGCCAUUAUGUUUCCACCUUCUUUCAAAAUACCAUCUCUUUGAAGCUGCUUACAACCCAGCAACACCAUCAACUCACUGUGCUCACUGUCCUCAAUCACACAUCUCCAAGUCACUCUGCCCUCUUCCAUGCAGAUCAUCCCAGAACCAAGUAGCUGCCUCAGUCUUCCUCCCAACCCUAACUAAUUUGAAAUGGACAACCUAUACAACACCCUUGGCUUCACAGUUCCUCAACCUGAAUUCCAGUGCUCUUUUCCUUCAUGCUGCUUCUGUCCACUGCCAUGGUUUCCACCCAGGAAUCACAAGCACAUCUAGCCAGUUCUGCUUUUGAAAAUAAUACUGGAAUUCCAAUUCCUCCAUUCCCUGUCCUAUUCCUAAAAGUGCUGUAUCACUUUGAUAACUCUGGCCCCUGGAUCCCACCUUGUAGCCCCUCACUUUUAUUGGCCACAUGGAAUUGAAUGUGGACUUUGCUCUGUGACCCUGAACAAAUCAAUUGUCUAAUCAUAGAAAAAGUUACCUGGAAGGAGAUUCCUAAGAUCUAACAAGAAGGUAAUUCCAAUCAAACCAGUGUCUUAAGAGCACCUGCAUAGAUUCUACGUGGUGGGCUUCCAGUUCUCUUCCCUGAAUACGCAAUUCAGACCAUCAUCAAUCACUCAGUCACAUCUUCACUCGUACUCUUCUUUAGCAAUCUCCCUGCCCAAGUUCUAACUUUUCCACCCAACCCAAUACAUGCUGUUCCAAUUAUCCUGGACUAAACAGCAGGAUAAUAAAACAUUACCUAAAUGGGUAGAUGGCAUUGAUAAUUAUAAUGGAAUCGACUCUAAACUUCUAACCCUGUAACCAUCUCAAUCUCACCCUUCUCUGCCUUUCCUUACCUCUCUGACUUUUUACUCUAGUGCUCUUCUCCGUUUGUCUUCAUGAAAAUAGUCUUCUCCAAGGUCUUGUCCUGGGUUUUCUCUCUGGGCCAUGGAGGAUGGGCUUCAGGUUUGUGAUAUCCUGGAGGCAGAAUAUAAACAUGUGGUGUGCCUGUGCCUCGGUCAGACAGGAUCCAUAACUUCACGUGAUUCCUGGAGCCUAAGGAGGGGAAAAAUUAAGAAUCACUGUUCUGACAGGCUUGAAUUAUCCUGGAUCUGCCACCUAUUUGUCAUGGGACCUUAAGCAAGAUACCUUCUUAGGAGUUCCUCAUCAGUAUGAUUGGAAUCAAAAUACCUGCCCUAUGAGGGCUUCAUAAAAGAGAGGAUAUAUAUAAAAUGCUUGGCACAGUGUCGGGCAUAUUAAGUACUUAACUAGAGAAGUAUUAUUUUAACAUAAUAAGCCAAAUCGAAUAGCUACCUAAUUUCCCCAGGUAAACUCAUCUACCCUUAUGACCUCAUUGAUCAUCUAAAAGUGAAAGACAACUCUCCAUCUUUAUUUUCCAGCUCAAACCUCCCUCCUAAGGUCCAUCCAGCCUGUACAGCCAGCUGGGCACUAAACCACAAUUUCCCACCAGCAGCUCAAAUCUAUCGUCAUGUCUUUUUCCUUCUCUAUUGCCAUAUCACACAUUUCACUUAAAGCUCAAUUGGUUUGGCCAAGCUAAAAACCUGAAGUCUUCUUAGACUCACUCUUCCCUUUAAUGUUGAAUAGAAUUAGACCUCAAGGCCUGUUGGUUCUACUUUUAAAAGAUUUCUGAAAUCAGUAUCAGGUAUCCUCAUGGUCAGCCUUAGUUUGGAAACUUAAUAGCUCUUACCUGGAUUACAAUGGCUUUGUAACUUAUUUUUGUCCGAGGUUCUCACCUGUUGAUUCUGUCUUCCAUUGUUACUGGGGAGCCAUAGGUGGCAGAGAUGUUUUUUUGACAGAGUAUUAAAUUACAAGUGAUUCUCCCCUCUGGAGACUUUUUCUUCGGCUGAUAGCCUCACUCUUCCUUACCUCCUAAGAGAUAUUCUAGUUCACGGGUUUUGGAUGUAGAAAAUGAGGAUAACAAGUGCCAAGAAUACAGCCCUACAAGGUGAAAGACUACUUUAAUUAACUUCCAUUAACAACAGAAGCAAGAACUUCUUACAAGAAAGAGGAGACUAAGAAAGGUGUGAGAAGGGAGAGGAACUUAGACUUGAUUUAGGGGAGUGCUUUUUGUUAGGACCGGGGACAGGGGCAGGUAAAGACAGAUCGUUGAGGCAAAAGAGAGUGAGAAUUCAAGAGAUGGGGAAAGAGACUUAAGUGCUUCUUUGAUUUUCCAAAGUUUUCAGUACAGAUUUGAAUGGCUUUGACUUUUGGCAGCUGCACGGUGCUAGGACUGGACCAUGAAGUAUCUCUGGGCUCUGAGAGUUACAUUUGGGUUAAUCUAAGCCUGAUCCCAUGUGUUCCUGGAUGAGGCCCCAUGACAUUUAAGGUCCUUGACAGUCUGACACCAGCUUUUCUAACCCUAUAAGGCCCUUCCAUCCAGCAGAAUUAUUCUCUAUCCCUCAACAUCUUCAUACCCACGUUCGACGCAUUUGCUCCAUCUGCCUAGAAUCUUAAUCUUGUCUGCCUUUCUGCCUGGUGAAAUCCCACAUAUGCCAAGAUCCAACACUGCUAAACCCCUUUCCUUGAGUUGGGAUCAUCUUGUUAUGCAGGGCCGGGAUACCUGCAAGGGAAUGGAAUUAAAAAGGGUAAGAGAUUGACUUAGCAGUUGAACCUUUUCUUGGGAGGUUUGAGGACAUCCAUGGUGAAAGGAUUUACCUACAGAGAGCACCUCAUGAUUAGAUUUGUGGCAAGUACUGAGUGGGUGGCUGACUUAAGGAGGGAAUGGGAAGUCCAUAAGGCAGUAGGAACUGAAGCCAACAUGACUCUCUCAUAUCAGGUAUGAACAUUUUUGCUAAUAUACAAAGCAGUUGCUCCUCUUAUUUUAAGCAACAAAAAUAAUUUGUCAGAAUGAUUUGCAAACAGUAAAAAUGUCUGGAUUUCUAGAGGUAAAUGAUUAUGCUGUGUUCCAAAUAAUACUAAAAUGCACUUGUAUUGCCAGUAAGGAAGAUAUGUAAAAGGAAGAGAUUAGACCAGGUCUGGAUAAAAAGCUUAUCUUAAAUCAAAACUACAUGUCAUCAAUUUUGCACCUAAGUACAAACAGAAUGUGUUUCUCAAUCCAUCAACUCCCUCUUGUUUCCUUCACAAACAUGCAAGGCCAGAAUACAGCAGUGUUCACUGUUUACAGAGUUGCUAAUUUAUCCAAGGCAAAGCUUUGUGCCUGCAAAUGGAAACAUCCCCUGGUCUUAGAAUUAUUUAGCUUAUGUAAGAGGGAGGCUAAAGUGAAGGGGCUUCACAAGGGUGUUCAAUGCCAAAAGUGAUGAAAAGUCAGAGUAGACUGAAAGGGUUUAGUAUCACGAGGCAGAAACAUGUAAAAUAUUUCAUGCAGCCAACCUUAUUUAUUGAGAAGUCCUAAUUUUAUUGCCCGUUAAGUAACAUGUUUGUUCCACAAGCUAAUUUCUUAUAAAGCAAAGCACAACCUUUUCUUAUAAAUAGUAUAAAUUAUUUUAUUUACAGAAACUUGUUACAAAACAAAUAGACUAUAUAUUUCUUCUCUUUUAAAUAUCCAAAGUAAUUUUCUAUCCCUUGACAUUUGUUCAUGUUCUAUACAGCAGCCAACACAAAGUCCAGCUGAGAUGCUCUUGAUUAUGUGUACAAAUUAUCAAACUAUUCACACGUUUUUAACACAGGAGAUUGCUUUUAUAACCAAGCUCAAAAAAAAAAAAAAAAAAA
ensembl:lncRNA